UCACGACCCAAAUAAGAUUUCGCUUACGACAGAUGACGAAUCAUCAUGGUAAAUGUUAUGCGAGGAGUUUUGGUUGAAUGUGAUCCAGUAAUGAAGCAAUUUUUGCUACACCUGGAUGAAAGCAACGUUUUAGGAAAGAAGUUUAUUAUCCAAGAGCUGGACGAGACUCACCUGUUCAUUUCGGCUGAUAUUGUGGAUAUCUUACAAGACAAGAUUGAUGAACUGAUGGACCAGAAUGCAUACCCAGUGCUUCAGAAAUAAAAGCAGAACUAAACUUUUUAUUCCUGUCAUGCCAGUGUUUGUUGACAGGAACUACUAUUCACAAGAUAUGAAUUCAGGGUAUGAACUUGAAUCACCUUCAAGGCCAAAUACAAGGGUAUCAAGGCAAACUCCCUGGGCGUGCAAUUUUCUGUGAAGCGAUGUGACUUAUUUCACUUUUCUAAAUCUGGCAAGAAUCCAAACUCUGAAGUAUGGAUAUGUUAAUUUUAGUGUUGCUGGCAUGAUGGCGAUUUACUGUACAUGUGGGGUAAAUACAAUUAUAAUACCAAAACGUGAGUUACAGAUGGCAGUGUGGUGCAGGUCAUACAGAAUAAUUUUGUCACUAUUGGGAUGUGAUCCUAUUCAACUUCUGGUCCCUAGAGCAAUUUUUCAUCCCAGCAACAAAACAUAUGUAUGUGGAGAUAAUCACAAUAAAAUAUCACUACUGUGCAGUACUCUCA